rnacentral:lncRNA from 1 species
UUCAAAUUCAUUCAAGCCUUCCUUAUAAAACCAGCAUUUCUGGCAUUGUGUUGCAGAUAAUCAUUAUUUUUAAAAAGGAUUCAUCAUGCUGCUUAUGUGAAAAAUUCACAGUAGGCAGACAGUAUUUAAUAAGUAAAUCAAUAAUGCUCAUUUCAGGGAAAAAUCAGGUAUAGAAUAUAGCUGGAGAAGAUAAUAAAACAAGAUCAAAUACUAAAUCUCAGAACUGAUGAACCAUUAGGGAUAAUACAAUUCACUUCAGUGCCGGCUGCAGCAUUAUUAGAAAGCCUACAUCAUAAAAUGCUGUGUAAAUGUAAAUUCGACCUAAUUUGUCAUAUGAUUAAAACGCAGGGAAAAAGAAGUCUCUUUGUAAAAGCGAAUGCAACAUUUCCGACUGUAGUGAAGCAUCGUUGGGAAGAGAACUCCCUUGGCUCGUGGAGCUUUGCUCAGGUGAUGGUUAGUCAUGGCCUUCCUGGAUUGUGGAACCAAAUGAGAAGAGCUGUCGUAUCCAUGAAAAAGAACUUGACUCCAUCUCAACUUACAUCCUUCAAAAUUGUCUGAAAUUUCCUCUUUAUCGCACAUGCUCGCAAAGGUGGUUAGUUGUGGCAAUCAUGCUUUCUGGAUCCAAAGUUAAGAUGCUGGUCUGACCAGAGCAGGAUUUUCAUGCUUGUUUUGUGAUAAAAGAAAUAAUAUGGAAGAAAAAUAUUAAGUACAUUAAAUACAGGGUAAUUAGUGGCUGGAAAGGGGUAAUAGAGCACAUAGUUUGAAAUCAAAGCUGUUUUGGAAUAUAAGGCAUAUAUAGAACAUAUAUUUUAUAUGAACAUAGGAGACACCCACAGAUACCUUGUAUGAACUUGAACAUCGAAUAUAUGUGCACUCUGCCUCUGGGGCAAUUAACCACGUCCUAUCCUAGCUACUCUGGUAAUUUCCAUUGUCACACAUUCUGCACCUCCAGGGGAAUCUGAAUGGGAUAUACUUAAAUGCAAGAACAUGAUAAAGAAAUCUGAAUCAUGUGUCUGCUUUGCGGGCGAUACCCAGCUUUUACAUGCCAGUGGAAAUUAUCAUUUCCCCUGGUUUAAGUCAGUGGCUCUUAACCUGGAGAACUUAGAAGGCUACUGCUGCCUAAUUUUCAGCUGGGGAUUAUGGGGUUGUGUCUGCCUCGCUGGCAAUUUUUGAAGCUUCCAAGGUAGUUUUUAUGUGUAGACGAAGUCCAGAGUUGCUCUUCUGUGUGGAAUAAAGAUACAGUUCUGUUUCUUGAAAACACGCAGUAUUCUCUUCACAAACACUGCCCCAUAAAAGCCUAACAAAAAGAGAAGAAACGAUAGUGUUGACUUAGCUGAGGUUCCUUACA